rnacentral:rRNA from 1 species
AUGAGCACCUUGUCAUGGAACUGCCGGGGGCUUGGGAACCCCUGGACAGUUCGUGAGCUUCACAAGCUUGUGAAGCAAGAAGGACCCGCCCUGUUAUUUGUCAUGGAGACGAAGAUUAGGGGUAGGAGAGUUGAGGAUUUGAAACUUUCUUUAGGAUUCUCAGGUUGUUUUGCCGUCGAUAGUGACGGGCUUAGUGGAGGUAUUGGCCUCUUU